UGCAUUCAAAGGGGAAGACCUACUCUGUUCUAAGCUUGCAUGAAAAUGGAAGAAACACUUAAUAGCACUCCUCUCCACGCUUCAGUUUCUUAAGCAGUACUCCAGAGACGACGGAUUGACCGGUUUGAUCUCCUUGCAGUCCAAGGGACCCUUCAGAGUCUUCUCCAGCACCAGAAUUCAAAAGCAUCAAUUUUUGGAGAUGGUAUUAUGUGUUCUGACUUUUCUUGAGGCUUCCUGUUUCUGUUGUCUGUGGAUCAUUGGACCAGAUAUGCCCUGAUUCUAAUAUUUGUGAGUGGAAAAGACUGAAAUCUCUAUAGCCAGUGUAAGCCUGCCAACCUCUGCAUCCACUGAUUGUCCAGGAGAAUCAAAUGGGGCGUAAAGUUGGACUUUAGGACAUAUUCAAACUGAAAAGUACCGGGGUAGCAUCUUAAUUCUGGAAUAACAGGCUCAGAAUAUUAAAAAAAGCACCUUAUUCUAAAUGCAAAGAGCAGGAAUUUUUGAAUGAGAUGGCCCUGCCUUCUUGCAUUAAAAAGGCAAGACAAAACAAACAGUAUUUGUUAAAGGCCAUUUUCUAUAAUAGGUAAAAAAAACCCUUGUUUGUUUCAUUUUUUUCCCAUAGCAAAGAUUCCUCUAGCUUAUUCUGGGCUUCCCCUGGUCUGUCUUUGUAGAUUUACACACAUCCUCGACCAUUCCCCCUCUGCUAUUCUUCUAAUCCUACAAAAUGAAAACUUGAAUUGUUACUUCCAAGAGUAGGUGACUAUCUCUAUUGCAGUGGUUUUCAGACUUUGGUGACUCUGUUAAAACAUCUGCACCCCACCCCUAGAGUUUCUAAAUCAUUACAUUUGGGAUCGGGUUUGAGAAUCUGCAUAUAAUUCUGGUUCAUGGAUGAUAUUUGGAGAAUCACUGAUCUAUACUGAAAUAUGGAAGAAAAGGGUGAAAAAGUCCUAAUAUCACCUCUGUAUCCCAUUAUUUCCCCCCGAUUUCCUCAGAAUGUUGGACAUUUUGUAGUUUGUAGAAAUUACAGCUAGCUUUUUAAAAACCAGGAUCUGAUGUAGGCUUACAAUCUUAACUAAUGAAGUGAUGUGAAGUGAAGUUGCUCAGUCGUGUCCGGCUCUUUGCGACCCCAUGGACUGUAGCUUAACAGGAUCCUCCAUCCAUGGGAUUCUCCAGGCAAGAGUACUGGAGUGGGUUGUCAUUUCCUUCUCCAGGGGAUCUUCCCAGGUCUCCCGCAUUGUAGGCAGACGCUUUACCAUCUGAGCCACAAGGGAAGUCCCUUAACUAAUGAGGUCGACAUAUAUCUUGACUUAUCAUCUCUCAUUCAAGAAACAGUUUCCUCUACUAUGUGAGCGAACAUAUGCUUUAUAAAAGGUUUUCCAUCAAGCAAGAUCUCAUUCUUGUAUGGGUUGGAGUGCUUUGAACUCAGGCAUUGUUGUUCACUGGUGAAUUGGUAGGGGGCUUCAUAUUUUUUUUAGGAUAUAAGCAUUAUACCAUAAUACAUCUUUUGUAGGCCUAAAUGCUUGAACUCAAAAUUGGCUCUCUCCUGAGAACACUGCUUCCAUGCAGGCCCUUUCUGCCACAGCCUCUACAGCAUUGUGCCUGAGUCAGGAAGGGGUCUUUCUUGCUCCUUGUUGCCACUUUCAGACCAUUCUCCCUGCUUUCAGUCUGAGAACACUCCAUGGUAAAAUUGUUGUCAUCACACUCUAUCGCCUGUCACCUGUUCCUGUUGCCAUCAUCAGCUUUAUUUCUUUGAUUUUAGCUUUUGGCUAGCUCUUUAUAACCUAGUUAUUGGUGAUUUUGCAUCCAUGUGGUUGAUAUUUGUAAUAUUCUGACCUCUACUCAGUUCCUCCGACUCUUUCCCACCAAUUUUUUGUACGCUUCUUCUGUUCUGUGUACUUUCAUCAUUAACUCCCAAGGCCAUGCCCUAGGCUUUUUUUAGGUUUAUUACCUACAGCUAGAUCUCGUCCAUGAUUUCACCUCUCUUCUCAUUUUGGCUCAUUCUCUCUAGUGUCCUGACUGCAUUAAUUCUUUGAUCCCAUCGUUUUUACUCCCAGAUUAUAGCCCUUUGAAAGCCUGAAUCCCCACCAUCUGUGGGCUUCAGAUUCCAACCUUUGAUCCCCUAUUGCACUGCUCAGUUGCUGGAUGCACCCAGGGCAAAAGCAGCUGUAAGUGUGUGCCCAUCUCUGCUGUGUUCUUCAAAAUCCUUACUACUUUGUCAGUAUUUUAUGCUUUUAACUUCUAAAAAUUUAGUUAGGCAAAUUGAAGUACCUGCUUCAUAACUGAGAAUGGAAACUCUCCAGCUCCACCAUUUUCUCUUAAAACCUGAUACAGUUUUAACUGCUACCAUUCCUCUAAAUUGCUCUUGCGAAAAGCAUCAAAGAACUUCCCAUUACUAAAUCUAGUAGCCUUUUCCCAGCCUUCACCUAACUUGACAUUGACCCAGUAGAUCCCUGCCUCUUCAGGCAAACAUUUUCUUCACAUUCAUCUACUUUUUCUCCUAUCUCAGUGAUAGCUUCUUCUUAGUUUUCCUUGCUAGUUCCU